GAUGAACGCUGGCGGCGUGCCUAAUACAUGCAAGUCGAGCGAACAGACGAGGAGCUUGCUCCUCUGACGUUAGCGGCGGACGGGUGAGUAACACGUGGAUAACCUACCUAUAAGACUGGGAUAACUUCGGGAAACCGGAGCUAAUACCGGCUAACAUAUUGAACCGCAUGGUUCAAUAGUGAAAGACGGUUUUGCUGUCACUUAUAGAUUGAUCCGCGCCGCAUUAGCUAGUUGGUAAGGUAACGGCUUACCGAGGCAACGAUCCGUAGCCGACCUGAGAGGGUGAUCGGCCACACUGGAACUGAGACACGGUCCAGACUCCUACGGGAGGCAGCAGUAGGGAAUCUUCCGCAAUGGGCGAAAGCCUGACGGAGCAACGCCGCGUGAGUGAUGAAGGUCUUCGGAUCGUAAAACUCUGUUAUUAGGGAAGAACAAAUGUGUAAGUAACUAUGCACGUCUUGACGGUACCUAAUCAGAAAGCCACGGCUAACUACGUG
rnacentral:rRNA from 1 species